rnacentral:rRNA from 1 species
GACGAACGCUGGCGGCGUGCUUAACACAUGCAAGUCGAACGGAAAGGCCCCCUUGUGGGGUACUCGAGUGGCGAACGGGUGAGUAACACGUGAGUAACCUACCCUUGACUUUGGGAUAACUUCAGGAAACUGGGGCUAAUACCGGAUAGGAGCUCCUGCUGCAUGAUGGGGGUUGGAAAGUUUCGGCGGUUGGGGAUGGACUCGCGGCUUAUCAGCUUGUUGGUGGGGUAGUGGCUCACCAAGGCUUUGACGGGUAGCCGGCCUGAGAGGGUGACCGGCCACAUUGGGACUGAGAUACGGCCCAGACUCCUACGGGAGGCAGCAGUGGGGAAUAUUGCACAAUGGGCGGAAGCCUGAUGCAGCAACGCCGCGUGCGGGAUGACGGCCUUCGGGUUGUAAACCGCUUUCGCCUGUGACGAAGCGUGAGUGACGGUAAUGGGUAAAGAAGCACCGGCUAACUACGUG